rnacentral:misc_RNA from 1 species
UCUCCGUUGGUGAACCAGCGGAGGGAUCAUUAUCGAGUUUAUAACUCCCAAACCCUAUGAGAACUUACCACUUGUUGCUUCGGCGCGCGCUUCGGCGCCGCCGAGGACACUUAAACUCUUUGUUUUUAUAAGCAUUUCUGAGUGGCCGAAAGGCAAAAUACAAAUGAAUCAAAACUUUCAACAACGGAUCUCUUGGUUCUG